rnacentral:lncRNA from 12 species
AAAAAGAGCAGGGAAGAAGAGGUCCAUCACAGCAAGGGUGCAACGCCUACCUGAGACCUGAUCUGCUCCCUUCUGCCUUUGAUGUUCCUCACUCUGAGCCAGGGGUCACAGUGCUGGCAGACAUGCCAUGGGGUAUGAAUGAUUUAAAGCAACAGGUGAAAGUCUUUAAAUGAGUGUAUUUACCAGCACUUCUCAAGGACUCUGUAUCAGCUAUGCUUGAUCGUAUUCCACGAGCGCUCUCAGAUGCACUUUCCUUUGUGUUGCUGUUUAGUGGCACGGUCACAUUUCAUCUGUGGGCAUGACAUGGAAGCUGCUUCUUCACCUCACAUGCCAUCAGCUUCCAGCACCCAUGGCUAAAGUCAAGGAUGAGAAGCUUCUUUCUGCUUGGGAGCUGCCCAGAUGAGGUCAUGUCAGCCUGAUUUGACAGGAAUGAAGAGUUCAAAGACUGAGAUUCUGCAAGACUUGGAAAGGAGAAGAAAAAAAAAAAGGGGGCAACCAACCAAGAGCAAGAAUAUGAAACAGAAUAAGCAGAUAACAUAUCAGGCUUGGAUGCCACUCUGGAAAUCAUCUGAUGUCAGCGGAUGAGCACAGCUCAUCCUAAAUGAUACAGAAGAUACACAAGAUACAGAAGUCUUGACAUCAAAUUUUCCCUGAUUUCACGGUGUGAAAGAAGUCUUGACAUCAAAUUUUCCCUGAUUUCCCUGAUUUUUCAUACAGAAGUCUUGACAUCAAAUUUUCCCUGAUUUCACGGUGUGAAAACAUCAAAAUCAGUUUGAAAUUCAACUGAUCCAUGGAUAAUAUAAAAGUUUCACAAAACUAUAAGGUAAAAGUAUACUACAUAAACCCACAGCAUCAAGUCAUCCACUAAUAUAAAUGCACAACGUAUCUACCUUCUUGUCUAGUACAUUUUCCACAUAUUUGUGUAAUGGAGACUUUCUUCAAAAAAUGAACAAUUAUUUGAAUCAUGUAAUCCAAGAUUUUACUUUGAAAACCAAUUAACACGUAGGCAGCUACAUUGUUAUUUUCUCUAUGAGCUCUCUUCCAGAUUUUCAUAUGUUGGAAAGCUUAUAGCACCAUGUAAUGAGCUACAUGCACAUCAAUGCUAUCUGACAGCACUAGCCUAUAAACACACACCUCUAAAAUAACAAGCAAUGGUGUGUUCAGAUAUCUGUCUGUCUUCCUAGCAAUAACUCAGUCAAUCUUUUCACUAGGAAUCCUCACCAUUACCUUUUCCUCUUCAAUUUGAACAGAUACUUCUCAGGCCCUCACAAACACUACAGAAUUAUGAAAGGUGAGAUGGAGGAGGGCUCCUCAAAUCCAGCUUGUAUAUUCCUGGAUUUACCUCAGUAUACCAUAAAUGAGAAAAACCCCAAACCAAACCAAACCAAACCAAACCAAACCAACCAAUCUAACAAACAACAAAACCCCACAACUCUAUAAAAGUUUUUUUCCCAAAUUGUCAGUCUCAAGUGCCAUCACAAGGAAGACAAAUUUUGUAGUUAUCCCAUCAAUGUAACAAUAAAGUUUUUUUGUGUUCUCCUUUACCCUAGAUUUAUCUGUUACACACUUCCAAAUCAGGUCAGAGUGCUUCAAAUACACAUGACAUGAAGUAGAGGCUGCCUAGUAAGAUUUGUAUGUAUCCACUGUGCGUGCAUAAGCUCAGUACAUUCCUUUUAGAUGGGUGACUCCUGAAUAUGAAUCAAAACCUGCAUGAUGAAAAUACAAGAAUGCACAAAAUUACACAAUAGCCUGCAGAAAUACAGAGAAAGUGUUUGCAAUCUGAGCUUGCUUCUGGGUCUGUUUGUGACUUUGAAUGCUGAAUUCUAUACAGACACUUGAGAUAACAUUUCCA